rnacentral:rRNA from 1 species
GCGAGCGCAGGCGGUUUCUUAAGUCUGAUGAGAAAGCCCCCCGGCUCCAACCGGGGAGGGUCAUUGGAAACUGGGAAGACUUGAGUGCAGAAGGAGGAGAGUGGAAUUCCCAUGUGUAGGCGGUGAAAUGCGUAGAUAUAUGGGAGGAACACCCAGUGGCGAAGGGCGGCUUUUCUGGUCUGUAACUGACGCUGGAGGCUGGAAAGCGUGGGGAGCAAACAGGAUUAGAUACCUUGUUAGUCCACCCCGUAAACGAUGAGUGUUAAGUGUUGGAGGGUUUCCGCCCUUCAGUGCUGCAGUAAACGCAUUAAGCACUCCGCUUGGGGAGUACGCCCGCAAGGUUGAAACUCAAAGAAAUUGACGGGGGCCCGCCCAAGCGGUGGAGCAUGUGGUUUAAUUGGAAGCAACGGGAAGACCUUUACCAGUUCUUGACAUCCUUUGACCACUUUAGAGAUAGAGUUUCCCCUUCGGGGGCAAAGUGCCAGGUGGUGCAUGGUGGUCUUCAGUUCGUGUCGUGAGAUGUUGGGUUAAGUCCCGCAACGAGCGCAACCCUUAUUGUUAGUUGCCAUCAUUCAGUUGGGCAUUUUAGCAAGACUGCCGGUGACAAACCGGAGGAAGGUGGGGAGGACGUCAAAUCAUCAUGCCCCUUAUGACCUGGGCUACACACGUGUUCCAAUGGGAAGUACAACGAGUGGGGAAGUCGGGAGGUUAAGUUAAUUUUUUAAAGUUUUUUUCAGUUCGGAUUGCAGGCUGCAAUUCGCCUGCAUGAAGCGGGAAUCGUUGGUAAUCGCGGAUCAGCACGCCGCGGGGAAUACGUUCCCGGCCCUUGUACACACCGCCCGUCACACCACGAGAGUUGGUACCACCCGAGGUCGGGGAGGUAGCAUGUGGAGCCAUCCGCCGCUUAAAUUUACUCCCCCCG